rnacentral:lncRNA from 1 species
AACAAGAACAAUCAUUACACAUGUCUGCCACCACGAAUGACGUACCUCGCAUGGUUGAUCUUCUUUUGAUUUUUCACCGUGGGAUAGUAUUCAUGAUUCAGAUUAAUAUUUGAAUAUGUAUGGGAAUCAGGUUUUGUGGAUUCAUGGCUUCCAAUAAACGCAAGCGUUUAUUGUUAAUUACCCCUACAAAGUGUUAGGGCACCUUCGAUUAAGAGACCUUUGUAAUGCUGUGAUUGAAUAAAAGAUGAAUUUUAUAACAUAAUUCAGUACGACGGUUGAUUGAAUUUGAUUCUGAACCAAGAUAUCAGAGUAUAUAAUCAAAUUGAUUUGAUUGGGCUUCAUAUGUUUCAGUGCUUAACAACAUUGUUCACCCUAAGGUGAAAGGUUGGUUAAAUUCCAUGUAUAUACAUUGAGAUUUAAUCAGGUUCGAUUCAAAUUAAACUC